CCCUUAGAUGUCCGGGGCCGCACGCGCGCUACACUGAAGGAAUCAGCGUGGCUUUCUCCCUGACCCGAAAGGGUUGGGAAACCCGUUGAAUCUCCUUCGUGAUAGGGAUUGGGGCUUGAAAUUGCUCCCCAUGAACGAGGAAUCCCUAGUAAGCGCAAGUCAGCAGCUUGCGUUGAUUACGUCCCUGCCCUUUGUACACACCGCCCGUCGCUACUACCGAUUGAAUGGUUUAGUGAGAAUUUUGGACUGGAACUCCCUUGCUCAGCAAUGGGCGAGGGGGAGUCCGGGAAGCUAUUCUAACUGUAUCAUUUAGAGGAAGUAAAAGUCGUAACA
rnacentral:rRNA from 1 species